GCCAGUGUAGUGUAGUGGUUUGAGAGUUAGACUGUGACUCUGGAGACCAGGGUUUGAUUCCCAGCUCAGCCA
rnacentral:tRNA from 1 species